rnacentral:rRNA from 1 species
AGGGUUCGAUUAUGGCUCAGGACGAACGCUGGCGGCGCGCCUAACACAUGCAAGUCGAACGAGAGAUGAGGAGCUUGCUCUUCAAAUCGAGUGGCGAACGGGUGAGUAACGCGUGAGGAACCUGCCUCAAAGAGGGGGACAACAGUUGGAAACGACUGCUAAUACCGCAUAAGCCCACGGCUCGGCAUCGAGCAGAGGGAAAAGGAGUGAUCCGCUUUGAGAUGGCCUCGCGUCCGAUUAGCUAGUUGGUGAGGUAACGGCCCACCAAGGCGACGAUCGGUAGCCGGACUGAGAGGUUGAACGGCCACAUUGGGACUGAGACACGGCCCAG